AGCGCGCGCGCCCCCGCCCCCUCCACAGUUUGGGGGUGGGGAGCGGCUGGGAACGAGAGUGAAAACCGAACCCUUCCCUGCGCGGAGAGGUUGGGCCCUGAUUCUGCCGCUCUGUGAGGUGGUGUUGAGAGCAUCUUUUCAUGUGUCUGUUAGCCAUCUGGAUGUCUUCUUUGAAGAACUCAUUUUCUUCUGGCAGUGAGACAGACUUCAGGCAUAUCACCUUUAUCCAGUGAGACAAAAAUGGUACAACUAGACCACACCUGUGGCACAGUGAGACUUCUGGAAAUGACAACAUCACUCAGGAUGCAGUGUUACUUCUGUCAGCAGAUUUUCUUCUUAGAUGAUGAAUCACCUGCCGUAAUGAAGAAGGAAAUGUGAAACAGUGGCCUGUACAUGGGAAGAAUUCAGUGCAGCUGGAAGGUCUCUAAUGGUUUCAUGUUUGGAAUCUCCUGUCUGUCAGCCCGGACCCCAGAUGUGCUGCCUGAUGCCCCUUGACCCUUCCCCAGCCUGCCUGUAUUCUUUCUUUACUGCUGCCCUGACCUCUACAUACUUUGAGCACUUCUGGUCCUUCUGGUAAACCUGGAGAUGUCCCAUCUCCAGCUGCUCCCUGUUCUGGGGUACCUGUGGCUCCAGCUGCUUGAUCAGAAACAAGACACCUGUGUGCUACAUUCUGGGGGGCUGGGCUGAUGCAUGCCCAGUAAAUACCCUUCUGCUACUCUUCCCAGUUAUGGUGGCGUCCAGUUUCCAUGGGUUGGAAUCCAGAGCAUCUCAGCUGGAUGCCUCAGAUCUCAGGGAUCCUUCACAGACUACAUCAAGGUGGUAGAGGGACUGCAGUCAUCUUGAGGCUCAAAUGGGGUAGAUCACUCACCUGGUUG